GACGAACGCUGGCGGCGUGCUUAACACAUGCAAGUCGAACGAGAAGAGAUGAGAAGCUUGCUUCUUAUUAAUUCGAGUGGCAAACGGGUGAGUAACGCGUAAGCAACCUGCCCUUCAGAUGGGGACAACAGCUGGAAACGGCUGCUAAUACCGAAUACGUUCUUUUGUCGCAUGGCAGAGGGAAGAAAGGGAGGCUCUUCGGAGCUUUCGCUGAAGGAGGGGCUUGCGUCUGAUUAGCUAGUUGGAGGGGUAACGGCCCACCAAGGCGACGAUCAGUAGCCGGUCUGAGAGGAUGAACGGCCACAUUGGGACUGAGACACGGCCCAGACUCCUACGGGAGGCAGCAGUGGGGAAUCUUCCGCAAUGGACGAAAGUCUGACGGAGCAACGCGCGUGAACGAUGACGGCC
rnacentral:rRNA from 1 species